GAAUGAUAGAGAGGUUGGGUUGGAAGGGUCCUUGAAUAUCACAGAACCGUGGAAUGGUUGAGUUGGAAGGGUCCUUACAGAUAAAAGAAUUGCGGAAUGAUAGAGAGGUUGGGUUGGAAGGGUCCUUAAACAUCACAGAACCAGUGGUUGGACUGGGGAAGGCCCAGAGGUUCCACUUCCAACCUCCUGUAAUUCUGGGAUCUGUAAAAGAAUCCCAACACCUUGAGCCCAAAUCUGACCUUUUGUCCCACGAGACCGAUUUUAAGUUCCCCUCUCUGACAUUGGUUGGGUUCCCUUCUGUGAUGUUGGUUGGCUUCUUCUCUCCAGUGUUUGUUGGGUUCCCCUCUUCGAUGUUGGUUGGGUUCCCUUUCCAAUGUGGGUUCCCCUUUCUGACAUUUGUUGGGUUCUCCUCUCUAACGUUGGUUGGGUUCCCUUCUCCCAUACUCUUUGGUUUCUCUCUCCAGCAUUGGCUGGGUUUCCCUCUCUGACAUCAGUUGGGUUUCCUUUCCAGUGUGGGCUCCCCUUUCUGACAUUUGUUGGGUUCUCCUCUCCAAUGUUGGUUGGGUUCCCUUCUCCCAUACUCUUUGGUUUCUCUCUCCAGCAUUGGCUGGGUUUCUCUCUCCAACCUUGGCUGGUUUCUCUUUCCUGUGUGGGUUCCCUUCUCCAACCCCGAGUUCCCUUUGACAUUGGUUGGGUUCCCUUUCCAAUGUGGGUUCCCCUCUC
rnacentral:lncRNA from 1 species